UACGUAGGGGGCAAGCGUUGUCCGGAAUCAUUGGGCGUAAAGAGCGUGUAGGCGGCCCGGUAAGUCCGCUGUGAAAGUCCAGGGCUCAACCCUGGGAUGCCGGUGGAUACUGUCGGGCUCGAGUCCGGAAGAGGAGUGUGGAAUUCCUGGUGUAGCGGUGAAAUGCGCAGAUAUCAGGAGGAACACCAAUGGCGAAGGCAGCCCGCUGGGACGUGACUGACGCUGAGACGCGAAAGCGUGGGGAGCAAACAGG
rnacentral:rRNA from 1 species